rnacentral:rRNA from 1 species
UUAAAUUGAAGAGUUUGAUCAUGGCUCAGAUUGAACGCUGGCGGCAGGCCUAACACAUGCAAGUCGAACGGUAACAGGAAGCAGCUUGCUGCUUCGCUGACGAGUGGCGGACGGGUGAGUAAUGUCUGGGAAACUGCCUGAUGGAGGGGGAUAACUACUGGAAACGGUGGCUAAUACCGCAUAACGUCGCAAGACCAAAGAGGGGGACCUUCGGGCCUCUUGCCAUCAGAUGUGCCCAGAUGGGAUUAGCUUGUUGGUGAGGUAACGGCUCACCAAGGCGACGAUCCCUAGCUGGUCUGAGAGGAUGACCAGCCACACUGG